CUUAAUAUGACAGAAAUUGUAAUAAACUUAAAAUUUAUUCAUAAAAUAUUUUAUAUUUUUAUUAAGA
rnacentral:tRNA from 1 species